rnacentral:tRNA from 2 species
GCGCCUGUAGCUCAAUUGGAUAGAGCGCCGGCCUCCGAAGCCGGAGGUUAGGGGUUCAAUUCCCUUCAGGCGCA